ensembl:snoRNA
CUCCACGGCUACUGGUCUGCAGCUGUUCUUAUGGUAGCAGUCAUGGCAUUCCUCUGUGGGAAAGAAACUGUUAACAAAUUAAACACCUCUUUCUUAGCAAAACAGAAAGUGUGCAUAUGUGUGACAGACACAC